GAUGAACGCUGGCGGCGUGCCUAAUACAUGCAAGUCGAGCGAACGGACGAGAAGCUUGCUUCUCUGAUGUUAGCGGCGGACGGGUGAGUAACACGUGGAUAACCUACCUAUAAGACUGGGAUAACUUCGGGAAACCGGAGCUAAUACCGGAUGAUAUUUUGAACCGCAUGGUUCAAAAGUGAAAGACGGUCUUGCUGUCACUUAUAGAUGGAUCCGCGCUGCAUUAGCUAGUUGGUAAGGUAACGGCUUACCAAGGCAACGAUGCAUAGCCGACCUGAGAGGGUGAUCGGCCACACUGGAACUGAGACACGGUCCAGACUCCUACGGGAGGCAGCAGUAGGGAAUCUUCUGCAAUGGGCGAAAGCCUGACGGAGCAACGCCGCGUGAGUGAUGAAGGUCUUCGGAUCGUAAAACUCUGUUAUUAGGGAAGAACAUAUGUGUAAGUAACUGUGCACAUCUUGACGGUACCUAAUCAGGAAGCCACGGCUAACUACGUG
rnacentral:rRNA from 1 species